GAUCUUUCAUGAGCCAUUUCGUCAGUAGCCAAUGCUAGUAGAAGCUAUCCAACCAGAAGACACUACUACAUACAAAUUUAGCGCCAGCCAAUUCGAAAUUCAAAAUUCAAGAAGCGAUCCGACCAAGUUGGCACACCAAUUCAAAAUUCAACACCAGCUAGGUGACAACUAUCACGAAACUGAUAAGGCAACCACAACUGCCAUAUCUCAAGAAUCUCGAGCAAUAGUUCCGCUACUAUAUGCAAAUUGUGUCCUAGCCGG
rnacentral:lncRNA from 1 species